UUCAUUUUGUUGGCCUGCAAAUGGGACAUAGUACCUUUAAGUUGUAUUAAUUAAUACACCAGCUUCACCCCGAUAAUCUACAAAUAUAAACUAGUUAUCACCAAAUCCAGAAUCUCAUCUGCCAAUAAAAUGCUUCGAAUACGUGAAAAAACAUCCUACUUGACAUCAGAGAAGUUAAUGUCUAGCCACUUUUAAAAAGAUCCAUUGAAACAAAGUUCUUCCCCCAGUGAUAAAAUGUCACAUUUAUGCAUUUUUAUUCUAUGUAUUUUAUGUUUUGUCUUUAUAUUUUAGGGUUUUGCACAUGUUAUAGUACUCUUUGUUGUUAGCGCUGCUAAAUUUGUGUUUUGUUCUUUAUUCUGGUUUUGUCUGUAACAUCUGGUAGUGUCCGGUCAUGAAACGAAAACAAGGAACGUGGCAUCUGAGGAGCUGUGUCAAGAAGGCAUCGCCAUUAACGAGCCAGAAGUGAUGCAAGAGAAGAGCGGAGAUGGAGCUACAGAAUCAAAAGAGAACACCACUGAAAACAUUGACACUAAGGAGCAAGGUAACACACCCGACGGGUCGGACGAGUGUAAGCAAGAUGAAAGUUCCAAACUCCUCAUCCAGGCACGAAACAUAGACCAUUGG